rnacentral:rRNA from 1 species
UACGUAGGCAGCGAGCGUUGUUCGGAAUUAUUGGGCGUAAAGAGUGCGUAGGCGGUGUUCCAAGUCUGUCGUGAAAUCUCCCGGCUUAACUGGGAGGGUGCGGCGGAAACUAGGAUGCUAGAGGGUGGGAGAGGUAAGCGGAAUUCCUGGUGUAGCGGUGAAAUGCGUAGAUAUCAGGAGGAACACCUGCGGUGUAGACAGCUUACUGGACCACUUCUGACGCUGAGGCACGAAAGCGUGGGUAGCAAACAGG